rnacentral:tRNA from 1 species
GGGCUGAUGGUGAAAGGCAUCACGUCUGCCUUGCAAGCAGAGGUUCAGGGUUCGAGUCCCUGUCGGUCCACGA